rnacentral:lncRNA from 1 species
GGCGCAUGCGCAUUGCGAAAGGCGGAGGGAUUCGAGUCGUCUCCACUCCCAGUUCUGGUCGCGAGCUGAGGCCGCGCGGGUUGUGAGGAGAGGUCUGGUUUGCGCGCGCUGCGCGGACCACCGAAGCUACCUGACGCGGGCGCCGCCGAAGUGGAAGUCGGAGCGGGAGUUUUUGUUUGUGAAGGGCGGCCGCGAGGCCUGAGGCUAACGUCAGGCUGAGGAGAGCGCCGCGCGAUUUGGCAAGAUGACACAGUUUCUGCCUCCCAACCUUCUGGCCCUUUUUGCACCCCGAGAUCCCAUCCCAUACCUGCCACCCCUGGAAAAGCUGCCACAUGAAAAACACCAUAACCAACCUUACUGUGGCAUUGCACCAUACAUCCGAGAGUUUGAGGACCCUCGAGAUGCUCCUCCUCCAACAAGAGCAGAAACCCGGGAAGAACGCAUGGAGAGAAAGAGACGGGAAAAAAUUGAACGGCGACAGCAGGAAGUGGAGACAGAGCUGAAAAUGUGGGACCCUCACAAUGAUCCCAAUGCUCAGGGCGAUGCCUUCAAGACUCUGUUCGUGGCUAGAGUGAACUAUGACACAACAGAAUCUAAGCUUCGGAGAGAGUUUGAGGUGUAUGGACCCAUCAAAAGAAUCCACAUGGUAUACAGUAAACGCUCUGGAAAACCCCGUGGUUAUGCCUUCAUCGAGUAUGAGCAUGAACGAGACAUGCACUCCACCACGCAGCUGGCUUGCAGCUGAUGCUUACGCUCCCCUUACAACACCUCAGUGUAUGGUUGGUAUAAGGGUUUGUAUCAUGGGUAAGAUCACAGCACCGCACACCAGCCCAGCUUAGCCAGGCAGCUUAGGAACAGUGAGGCUUCCCUUCCCACCCUAGUCACCUUUCAGUAUCCCUUCACCCACAGCCCUCUCCUCAUUUGGGUGCCCUUUGCCCCUCUUGCCCCCAUCCACAUGCUCUCUGGUAAUCUCGCUGAUCCCAAGGGGAAGGGUGGACCUCGAUGGGAAAGGCAUUUGCCUCCAUCUAUAGUCGGGCUCCACCCAGCCUCUGACACCUGGGUCAUAUUGGCAACCCUAAAGCUGGGGUGUCCUGGGACCAGGGCUCUAUGUGGAGCCCUUCAGCCCAACCCUCCCUGCCCUAUGACUUCUGUGGAGUUGUCACCAUAGUGGUCUUGGAAAGUCUCUGGUUUCUAGCUUGGGGUAUUGUGUCCCUCCUGUCUUCCUUGGUGUGGUGGGAGUCUCCUUAGAAGGCAGCUGUGAUGUCCAGUGCCUGAGCUCCCCAAAGUGCAUGGAUUGGGGUUCAGGGUAUGGGAGGGGUGGAGCAGGCUUUAAAACAACUAAAGGUGUGGUAGUUUUUACUAAAUCUGCACAGAGGUGGAAGAGAGGGAAAGAGAGAGAGAGAAGCCUAGAAUGACACAAUUACAUGGUCUUGCUGUUUUCUGGGUUGGACCUCUCCCGGGGUUUGGGAUGGGGAACCUGAGCAGGGUUCCUGUAUUGACUGACCCUCUCAAGCUGUUCUGGGGUUAGGGGCCGAUCGGCCCCUCCUGGAGCAUGGGGAGCAUUCUUUUGGAUCCCAGGUGUAUCCCCUGUGUACUGGCCUCAGGCCUGUUGCCACUAGUGGGAGGGCAUAUGGAUCCAGGUGGAAAGCCUGACCCCAGGACUGAGUGCUGGGCCUGUACCUAGUGGAGCGUAACUGAGGCAGUGGUGAGCAGUAGGUGCUUUUGAGGCCUUGAGGCCCACUGUUUAGGUUGGGCAGGAUAGAUAGAUCCAGGUCUCCCAGCCCGGGCGCAAACAUUCCUCUGACAUUCAGAGGCUCCCUUUUUUCCUUCAUCCACUUGUCUCUAGAUGAUGUGGGAAAUGUAGUGUCUCCCUCUCAGGGUUCCCUGUAGCUUUAGUUGCCCCUGUGGUGGUGGGUGUGGGGUUGUGUGAGUGUUCAGGUAAGCUUGGGGUCUCCAGGUAAGCAGUCCCGUGUCCCAACCCCCACCCCACCCCCGGGAAGCCCGCCUCCUCGCCAGGCCCCCAGGAGUUGCCGGCCCCCCCCAUCCCGCUCGGUUUGGACACCCGCAAGGCCGGCAUCGGUAAAUGGCACCUUUUUCUCUUCCUCUGGUUGUUAUUGGGGGGGAGUGGGCAGGGGUGGGGCAGGGUAUUGUGGUUGGUGAGCACAGCCCCUUAGGCCAGGGCUGGGACCUGGACAGGGACUUUUUGGCCUUCUUAACAGCCCUGCCUGAUCACAGGCCUGGGCUCUGGGCCUUCCCACUAUGUCUUAUGCUCCUCAACUUCCCUGAGGGUUCAGGCAGGGCUGCAUGCCCUGCUGGCCAUUGACCUCGGCUUGGAGGACAGAGCUGGCCAGGCUAGGUGGUGGCAGGGUCAGUCGGCUCAGGUAAGGCAGGGAUUUUGAGUAGCACGGUACAUGUCCCUUUGAGUCCAGCCAGGGUCCUUGGAGGUCCCUGGGGAGCUCAGCACCCACCUAUAUCCCUGCCAGUUCCUGAAGGUCUUUCCACUCCUGUUCAUUUCUGUUCUGAUGUCUCUUUCCUCACACUGACCUCCCCUAUAAAAACACACAGAAAAACAAAAACAAAAAAACAAAAAAAUAAUCUGGUGUGGUCUGGAUGUGGUGGGGCCCAGUGGGCCUCCUGCCUCAGCAUGGUGUCUAGGGUGCAUGCCUGGGUGUGGAGGAGCCUAGCCAGCCUCCUGCCCAGCAUGGUGUCUAGGGUGCAUGCCUGGGUGUGGAGGAGCCCUCCCCACAGCAGAGGCCAGCAUUCAGCUAACCUCCAGUUUCUUUGCAGCAAUUUGGCCGCCCUGGCAGGAGGGGGCUGCUCCAUCAUGUGAAAGCUGGGGGAGGCCAGAGUAAAUGUUUUACCCCCCCAAUAGCACUUGGGGGUGCCAAAAAGGAAUCAAGCACCGGAUGGAGCAGGCCCUUCAGGGUGGGGAGAGGGCGGUCUGGCUGUUGGUUGCCUGGCUGACUGGUGGGAGUGUGAGUGUAUGUGUGCAGAUGGGGUUUGAGGGGCAGGGAUGCUGUUGUAUGGAGCCUUGUCUGACUAGAGGACCUUCUGGGGAAUUCCCCCUCCCCCACAUCUGUUGCAGCCGCUUACAAGCACGCAGAUGGCAAGAAGAUAGAUGGCAGGAGGGUCCUCGUGGAUGUGGAGAGGGGCCGGACUGUGAAGGGCUGGAGGCCCCGGCGCCUAGGAGGUGGCCUUGGUGGUACCAGAAGAGGUGGGGCAGAUGUGAAUAUCAGGCAUUCGGGCCGAGAUGACACUUCCCGAUAUGAUGAGAGGCCGGGCCCCUCCCCGCUUCCACACAGAGACCGGGACCGGGACCGCGAGCGGGAGCGCAGAGAAAGAAGCCGAGAACGAGACAAGGAGAGAGAAAGGAGACGCUCCCGCUCUCGGGACCGGAGGAGGCGCUCCCGGAGUCGAGACAAGGAUGAGCGGCGACGGUCCAGGGAGCGUAGCAAGGACAAGGACCGAGACCGAAAGCGACGAAGCAGUCGGAGCCGGGAGCGAGCACGCAGGGAACGGGAGCGAAAAGAGGAGCUUCGAGGUGGAGGAGGUGGUGGCGGUGGUGGCAGUGGUGGUGGUGGCGGCGGCGACAUGGCUGAACCCUCUGAAGCUGGUGAUGGAGCUCCUGAUGAUGGGCCUCCUGGAGAGCUUGGCCCUGAAGGCCCUGAUGGCCCAGAGGAGAAGGGCCGGGAUCGAGACCGGGAGAGGCGACGUAGUCACCGGAGUGAGAGGGAACGUCGUCGGGACCGAGACCGUGAUCGGGAUCGAGAGCACAAGCGUGGGGAGCGGGGCAGUGAGCGGGGCAGGGAUGAGGCCCGGGGUGGGGGUGGCAGCGGUCAGGACAAUGGGCUGGAAGGGCUAGGUAGUGAUGGUCGAGACAUGUACAUGGAGGCAGAGGGUGGUGAUGGGUACAUGGCCCCAGAGAAUGGAUAUCUGAUGGAGGCAGCGCCCGAAUGAAGAGGCCUGUAGUGGACAUGCUCCUAAUCUUGCUGUCUGCCUUCCUAGCCUUUUCCACCUUGGCUUGCCUCUGAGGGUAGAUUUUUUUUUUUAAUCCGGUCCCUUGGAUUUAAAAAUAAAAUUAAUUUUCUGUUGAUAGUGGG